GUCCCUCACCCUAGGGCCACCGUAACUAGACAGUAGGACAUGUCCCCCAUGAAUGGGGUGAUCGAAGGCCCCCUUCCCGAAGAAGAAUAGUUAAGUUCCAAAGAUGGACGUCAGAACAGUUAGGAAUAACGUUCAAAAUCCUAAGGAAAUUGAACACUCGGACAAAGGAUUCUUAGCAAAGCAAUUUUACUUCUGCGCAGAGGGGUGCCUCCUUGGCCAGUUGCCAUGGGAGCACACCUGAACAAAGGGGCACGAGAGCUUUUAUUCCUGACACAAGUCCUGCCUCUGUACCCUUUCCCCGUUGGUCGGGGUCGGGUCAUACAAUCUAAACUGAUCCCAGUUGGCUAAACAUUUGAUUUUUCUUAGAUAGGGUGGGCACAUGAAAGAAAGUGGAGGGAAAGGGGAAGGGGUGUCUGUAAUGAGCCAGAAAGUGAGUCCUCUUUCCAAAUAAGGAAAGGAAUGUGAGCUGGUCCUGAUAAUGCUUGGCACUGUGGCGUGCCUGGGCAUUUAACAAAGGCAAGAAGGGAAAAGGAGAAAAAAAGGAGAAAAAUUGAGGGGUACUAUGAAUUAAAGAAUACAAGAUUGAUCAGAUUAUUUGAAGAGAAACCUCAUCACAUCCCACACUGUGAAGAGGCUUGAUUGUAAGUUUCCUGAGGCCUUCCCAAUCAUGCGAAACUGUUUUUCACAUUACUUGGCAUUUACCUGCUUUUCCUCGGUGAGACCCAAGUCUUUUCCCUCAAGGGAUUUUCUAAGGGGAAAACAAGCUUCAACAAUGACAGAACUCUGUGAUCAGCUGGAAGUGGUAACAAGAAGGAAACAUGUGGAAUGUUCAUCACAGCUGGCUUCUAGAGACAACUCAAACUCUUUCUGCCCACAUCCUUUCCACUGCCAGAUCUAUGUAAAUGGAAUCAUCCUGUCUACAUUUGAGGUUUAG
rnacentral:lncRNA from 1 species